rnacentral:lncRNA from 1 species
AUGUCUGAGGGCUUCCAUGCGAAGGUCGGCGAGUGACUUCGGAUCAGGGCCAUGGCUUCACCUUUUUGUUCUUUGGUGAGGCCGGCAUUGAGACUGAAGACCUUACUCGCUUCUUCUUCUGAUAGAGAGAAGGUCUCCAGCUCUCCUACGGGUUCUGUCCAGGCUUCCUUUGUCUCAUCCCUGACCUCCAAAACUUCCGAAUCAAGCGCUUCUCCGGUUGAGUUCGGUUCCGUCACUGUGGCCAAGUAUACUGCCCUUGCUUCUUCCUGGCUGCCCCGGACCAUUCCCAC